GAUGAACGCUGGCGGCGUGCCUAACACAUGCAAGUCGAGCGAACAGACGCGGAUCUUUCUCUUCUGUCGUUAGCGGCGGACGGGUGAGUAACACGUAGAUAACCUUCCUAUAUGACUUAGAUCAGUUCGGCAAACCGGAGCUAAUACCAGAUAAGAUGAUCAACCGCAGGGUUUUACAGUGAAUUACGGGUUUUGUGUCACUUAUAGAUGGAUCCGCGCCGUAUUAGCUAGUUGGUAAGGUAACGGCCUACCAAGGAAACGAUGCGUAGACGAACUGGGAGAGUGAUAGGCCACACUGGAGCUGGGACACGGUCCAGGCGCCUAAGGGAGGCAGCAGUAGGGAAUGGUAGGCAAUGGUCGAAAGCAUGACGGAGCAAGGCCGAGUGAGUGAAGAAGGUCUUCGGAUCGUAAAGAUCUGUUAUGAGGGAAGAACAACUGUGUAAGUAAAUAUAGACGUAUUGACGGUACCUAAACAAAAAGCAACGGCUAACUACGUG
rnacentral:rRNA from 1 species